GCAAGUCGAGGGGCAGCAUGACUGUAGCAAUACAGUUGAUGGCGACCGGCAAACGGGUGCGGAACACGUACAGAACCUUCCUUCGAGCGGGGAAUAGCCCAGAGAAAUUUGGAUUAAUACCCCAUAGUACAGCGGAGUGGCAUCACUUUGUUGUUAAAGAUUUAUCACUUGAAGAUGGCUGUGCGGCUGAUUAGGUAGUUGGCGGGGUAACGGCCCACCAAGCCUGCGAUCAGUAACUGGUGUGAGAGCACGACCAGUCACACGGGCACUGAGACACGGGCCCGACUCCUACGGGAGGCAGCAGUAAGGAAUAUUGGUCAAUGGACGAAAGUCUGAACCAGCCAUGCCGCGUGGAGGAUGAAGGUCCUCUGGAUUGUAAACUUCUUUUAUAUGGGACGAAAAAAGGGUUUUCUAACUCGUCUGACGGUACCAUAUGAAUAAGCACCGGCUAACUCCGUGCCAGCAGCCGCGGUAAUACGGAGGGUGCAAGCGUUAUCCGGAUUCACUGGGUUUAAAGGGUGCGUAGGUGGGUUGGUAAGUCAGUGGUGAAAUCUCCGAGCUUAACUUGGAAACUGCCAUUGAUACUAUCAGUCUUGAAUAUUGUGGAGGUCAGCGGAAUAUGUCAUGUAGCGGUGAAAUGCUUAGAUAUGACAUAGAACACCAAUUGCGAAGGCAGCUGGCUACACAUCUAUUGACACUGAGGCACGAAAGCGUGGGGAUCAAACAGGAUUAGAUACCCUGGUAGUCCACGCCCUAAACUAUGGAUACUCGACAUUUGCGAUACACUGUAAGUGUCUGAGCGAAAGCAUUAAGUAUCCCACCUG
rnacentral:rRNA from 1 species